rnacentral:rRNA from 1 species
GCUUUUGCAGAAGGCAUAAGGCCAAGUAGGUUGUGUUCUGUAUGCUCGAGGACAGCUCGGGAAGGGGGCGUCGGUCGCAGCCUCAUCUGCCCUUACCGAAGGGCGGAGUAUUGGUCUAGUUGCCGGCGCCGGGAGGAGAGGGUGGAGGCGAGGUCCUGUGGCUUAGGAUGGGUGGUGGAGGGGUGUGUACCUCGACGGUACAGGAGGGAAGACCCUGGGUGAGUGCCGGAAGGACGGUGGCAGCCUAGUGCGGGGGAGGAGCUCGGCUGAGCCACCAAGAGAAGCGGCCGCGGCCACCAGCUCCGCGGCUCCUGCCAUCUGCCGGACUGACACCUGAGAUAACGGCUGUUCCCGACCUGCUAGGAGCGGCUCCGGCUCUCGCUGACCGCGUCGGUGCGGCGGCGGCAGCGCGUCAGGUAGUCCGAAUAAUUCUUCGCAGAGUUCACCUUUACCAAUGACCUCUCUAGCUUCGUCAACCGACACCAUAACCUCUUCGGUCUGGAGACCCUCCUAGGUCAAAAACGACCCUUACAAUCAGCACUUGUUCCGCUCGAGUACCCGUUCUAAUUCAGUCACUUGGUUAAGCUCGUUGUUAACUACCUCGUGUAGCUGUACAACUCCGAACGUGCACUUCUCCCACUGUUACUUGAGCUCUGCCUUAGGUACUCUCGUAACCGACUAUACUCUUCUCUACGUUUCCUCUUUCUUGAGUUACGUAACGAAAGACCUCUAUUACUGCAAAUGGGAACGAAGUAACUCCAGGUUCGUCCUCGGCCUCCGCAACUCUCGUACCUAACCCGACGGUACCAAUACUUGUACAUGUCUAGUACCCGAGUCGCUGCCCCUAUGUCUCAGUGACAAUAUCUUCUUUAUGGGCCACUUGAUCGUCCUUAGUUCUCCCGAUGAUAGUUUCAACUACCGCUCAUACGUAAACCUAUACGGUUUAGACUUUAUCCUCAAGUGUCUAAUCACGCCUAAAGAGGUAAACUGUCACCUUUCGCCGCCGUGUGAAGGAAACGACGACAGCGACAUUAUGGAUAAGAACCACUCCGGAGAUCGGCUAUGGUCUAUUUGCUUAGCCUAGAAGCCUAUCUUGCGAAGGCAAGACCACCUGGACCGCCGGUCGUACGGUUGUGGUGUCUUUCACGACAAUCUUAACACGUGUAGGGUUGACCAUGUUGCCGUUGAACAGUUUUACUUUCCAGUGUUGUAUACUUAUCCCGUAGUCGUUACCGCCACGAAGUUAGAUCCAACCUGGUCGAACUCUAAUGGGCAGUUCGUGUCUACUUACGUCUCGUGUGCGUUAGUGAGAGACUUUAUUCGACCCCUUUGGUUUAUUCUAGCAUACACGAUGUCGGUAUGGCGUACCAGUUUCUAGAGGCCUGUUUGAUACUUCACAGACUAGGGCUAAGUCAGGACCUUCCGCUGGACCUGCUAAAGUAUGACUCGAAAAACAGUAAUAGUAACCUAUUUCAACUACUUUCACAGACUUGCCUCUGGUACAAAUAGUAAAUAACAAUCGUGGUCGUCUGACACUGUCAUGGGUUGACUGUCAAGCCACAGACCCUAUUCCACUACGUACCUCAUAAAAGAACAUGACAUGAAGUAUCAUAGUCAUCAAAGUCAUAAGUAGGACAGUGAGACGAAUGGUUACAUCGAAAAGGAAAAAACGUAACCGCAGACUUUAUUCGACAUUCGAAAGACAACGAGAGUGACCUCUACUUCUUACUUCGUACGCAUGCACACUUGUGUCGUCGUAGGUAAACUUACGAUGAUUGUACUGAAUGUAAAGUGUUAGUUAUUACGAUGUGUUACCACCGAUGUCGAUGUACAAUGUUCAGUAUCUUUUUUAGAACAGACAUUUCAUCCUGCACAACGCACAAGACUAGAGACGUGCAAGUAAAGGUUUGGUUACCUUCCUACCUCAACUAGUGAUCUGUGAUCCCCAACCGCCGGGACUUGAGACCCACGUCCUCCGCCGGCUAGACCAGCAGCAGCCGCAGGUCGCCGGCGGGCCACAGCAAGGACUGCGCGGCGUGCCGGCACCACAACUCGCUGAGCACGACCUUGGGCAUCUCCGGCUCAUAGACCAGCAGCCGCUUCAACUCGCGCGCGAGGUACGGGACUGCCGUGGCGCGCCGGAGCAUCGAGCGCGAGACGAGGGGCGUGCCGAACGUGGGCUGCUUCACGCAGUGCUCGCCGGUGGCCAGCAGCGGCUCGGGGCCGGCGGGGAACGAGGCGUAGAGGAGCAUGGCCAGGUGCUAGGGGAGGGUCUUGGGCACGUCCUCCAUCCUCGAGAGGUCCUUGUGGAACCGGGGGGUGGACGGCGCGAGGCAGUGGUCGUCCAUGUGGUCGCGGCUGACCAGCAGCCGGAGCAUCCGGCGGGCCAACCUGUCGCGGAGGCGCUUCUGGAAGGGCAUGGACAGCGCGUGGCCCGGCGCGCCGGGGUACGCGCGGGUACGCAGGUCCUCCAGGUCGCUGGUGACCGUCAACGCCUACUGCUUCGACGGCCGCAACCACGGGUCGGUCAAGAACCGCGGCAUGUGGCGCAGCAGGGUCGGCACCUCGUCGUCCAACACGGCGCGCAUGAACGGGGUGCCGCCGAGCUUGUCGUACAGGCACUUGUGGUGCAGGCUCAGGUGGGUGGUCUCCUCGAGGUGGAGGCCCACGCGGUGGUAGUCGCGCGCGUCGUCGCCGUCGAAGCAGGUCUUGGGUAAGUAGAGCCGCAGGUCGUGGCGCAACGACAUCUUCUACAGCUUCGGCACCUGCGCCGUCAUCAGGCGGAACAAGAACUUGCGGGCCUCCUCGUGCACCAGCGGGAGGCCCAGGAACGUGGCCGCGCCGCUGCUCGGCCACUGGUGGUCGUGGGCUCCGGCGGGGCCGCGCUGGUUCCGGCCCUUGGCUCCCACGCGGCGCUCGGUUCGGCGAGACGCCCGCAGCAUCAGCCUGUGCAAGCCCGGCUCGCUCAUCCCGGCCAGCCAGUCGACCGCGUCGCCGCCCUCGACGACAACGAGGAGCGACCCUUGUCGGCGGUGGCGGCAGCGAUCGCGUGACCGGCCUCGCAGUGCCAGCGGCAGCGCCGCCCGCAUGAGCUACGCCUACGCACCCUCGCGGUCCAGCCGGCACUUGUUCUUCUCGCGCGUGCCGCGCUGCUACUUGUACUGCUAGCCCUACUAGCCCUGCCGCUUGUCGUCGAAGACGGCACGAGCGGAGAGCCGGCGGUGAACGACGAGUACGACCGGCGGCCGCACAAGGAGGCGGUAGAGGCUGCUGCCUUCUCCGUACGUACGCGAUCACCGACGUGGGAUGCGCGAGCUGAUGAGAUACAUACACAUACUGAUACUGCGGCGUGGUGAGGACCAAUUUAGUCUC